rnacentral:rRNA from 1 species
GGAGAGGGCUAGCGUUAUUCGGAAUUAUUGGGCGUAAAGGGCGCGUAGGCGGAUUAGUAAGUUAAAAGUGAAAUCCCAAGGCUCAACCUUGGAAUUGCUUUUAAAACUGCUAAUCUAGAGAUUGAAAGAGGAUAGAGGAAUUCCUAGUGUAGAGGUGAAAUUCGUAAAUAUUAGGAGGAACACCAGUGGCGAAGGCGUCUAUCUGGUUCAAAUCCGACGCUGAGGCGCGAAGGCGUGGGAGCAAACAGGAUUAGAUACCCCCUGGUAGUCCACGCUGUAAACGAUGAAUGUUAAAUAUGGGAAGUUUUACUUUCUGUAUUACAGCUAACGCGUUAAACAUUCCGCCUGGGGACUACGGUCGCAAGAUUA